rnacentral:rRNA from 1 species
GACGAACGCUGGCGGCGUGCUUAACACAUGCAAGUCGAGCGGUAAGGCCCUUUCGGGGUACGACGAGCGGCGAACGGGUGAGUAACACGUGGGUGACCUGCCCUCAGCUCUGGGAGUAAGCCUGGGAAACCGGGUCUAAUACUGGAUAUGACUCCAUGACGCAUGUUGUGGGGUGGAAAGCCUUGUGCGGCUGAGGAUGGGCCCGCGGCCUAUCAGCUUGUUGGUGGGGUGAGGCCUACCAAGGCGACGACGGGUAGCCGGCCUGAGAGGGCGACCGGCCACACUGGGACUGAGACACGGCCCAGACUCCUACGGGAGGGCAGCAGUGGGGAAUCUUGCGCAAUGGGCGAAAGCCUGACGCAGCGACGCCGCGUGAGGGAUGACGGCCUGG